rnacentral:lncRNA from 1 species
UAGGCCUUUGCUCUCUUGCAUCAAGCUAGACUAGGAUACAAGAAAAACUAACCUAGAAAUCUAAAUGCAGCAUAUUAUAUUUGGUUAGAUGUCAUGAAGAAGAUUCAAAAAGUUAGCCAAGACAACUGAAAUGGUAUCCAAGCUUCUUAAUACCAGAACCCUUUCUCUUCACACGUCCAAAACCAUCAUCAGAGUCAUCGAUAAGUCCUGGUGAACCCAUGUAACAACCAUAUCCUCCAACUGUUGGUUCAAAUACAUUGCC